rnacentral:rRNA from 1 species
GUUAAAAAGCUCGUAGUUGGAUCUCGGCGGUCUGAGGGCGGUUCGCUUGAUUGAGUGCUACUGCUCUAUAGGCCGUGGUUUUGCCAGAGGUCUCGGGGUGCUCUUAACCGAGUGUCCUGCGAUGCUGGCAGGUUUACUUUGAAAAAAUUAGAGUGCUCAAAGCAGGCUUUUACGCCUGAAUAUUCGUGCAUGGAAUAAUAGAAUAGGAAGUCGUUUCUAUUUUGUUGGUUUUCGGAAAUCGACUUAAUGAUUAAUAGGGACAGUCGGGGGCAUUUGUAUUCAAACGACAGAGGUGAAAUUCUUGGACCGUUUGAAGACAAACUACUGCGAAAGCAUUUGCCAAGAAUGUUUUCAUUAAUCAAGAACGAAAGUUAGAGGUUCGAAGGCGAUUAGAUACCGCCCUAGUUCUAACCAUAAACGAUGCCAGCUAGCGAUCUGCCGACGUUUUCUUUGUAGACUCGGCAGGAAGCUUCCGGGAAACCAAAGCAUUUGGGUUCCAGGGGAAGUAUGGUUGCAAAGCUGAAACUUAAAGGAAUUGACGGAAGGGCACCACCAGGAGUGGAGCCUGUGGCUUAAUUUGACUCAACACGGGAAAUCUCACCAGGCCCGGACACUGGAAGGAUUGACAGAUUGAUAGCUCUUUCUUGAUUCGGUGGGUGGUGGUGCA